rnacentral:sRNA from 1 species
AGCAACACGAUGGGACGAUACCCCGCAG